rnacentral:rRNA from 1 species
AAGCUUGCUUCUCUGAUGUUAGCGGCGGACGGGUGAGUAACACGUGGAUAACCUACCUAUAAGACUGGGAUAACUUCGGGAAACCGGAGCUAAUACCGGAUAAUAUUUUGAACCGCAUGGUUCAAAAGUAAAAGACGGUCUUGCUGUCACUUAUAGAUGGAUCCGCGCUGCAUUAGCUAGUUGGUAAGGUAACGGCUUACCAAGGCAACGAUGCAUAGCCGACCUGAGAGGGUGAUCGGCCACACUGGAACUGAGACACGGUCCAGACUCCUACGGGAGGCAGCAGUAGGGAAUCUUCCGCAAUGGGCGAAAGCCUGACGGAGCAACGCCGCGUGAGUGAUGAAGGUCUUCGGAUCGUAAAACUCUGUUAUUAGGGAAGAACAUAUGUGUAAGUAACUGUGCACAUCUUGACGGUACCUAAUCAGAAAGCCACGGCUAACUACGUGCCAGCAGCCGCGGUAAUACGUAGGUGGCAAGCGUUAUCCGGAAUUAUUGGGCGUAAAGCGCGCGUAGGCGGUUUUUUAAGUCUGAUGUGAAAGCCCACGGCUCAACCGUGGAGGGUCAUUGGAAACUGGAAAACUUGAGUGCAGAAGAGGAAAGUGGAAUUCCAUGUGUAGCGGUGAAAUGCGCAGAGAUAUGGAGGGACACCAGUGGCGAAGGCGACUUUCUGGUCUGUAACUGACGCUGAUGUGCGAAAGCGUGGGGAUCAAACAGGAUUAGAU